rnacentral:rRNA from 1 species
GGCCAGCAGCCGCGGUAAAACGUAGGAGGCGAGCGUUGUCCGGAUUUACUGGGCGUAAAGAGCGCGUAGGCGGCUUCACAAGUCAGGUGUGAAAUCUCCCGGCUUAACUGGGAGGGGUCAUUUGAAACUGUGGGGCUGGAGUGCAGUAGAGGGAGACGGAAUUCCCGGUGUAGUGGUGAAAUGCGUAGAUAUCGGGAGGAACACCAGUGGCGAAGGCGGUCUCCUGGGCUGUUACUGACGCUGAGGUGCGAAAGCGUGGGGAGCGAACUGAAUUAGAUACUCAGGUAGUCCACGCUGUAAACGAUGGACACUAGGUGUGGGGGGUAUCGACCCCCUCCGUGCCGUAGCCAACGCGAUAAGUGUCCCGCCUGGGGAGUACGGCCGCAAGGCUAAAACUUAAAGGAAUUGGCGGGGGA